rnacentral:rRNA from 1 species
UACGUAGGGCGCAAGCGUUGUCCGGAAUUAUUGGGCGUAAAGAGCUCGUAGGCGGUUUGUCGCGUCGAAUGUGAAAACCCGGGGCUCAACCCCGGGCCUGCAUUCGAUACGGGCAGACUAGUGUUCGGUAGGGGAGUCUGGAAUUCCUGGUGUAGCGGUGAAAUGCGCAGAUAUCAGGAGGAACACCGAUGGCGAAGGCAGCUCGCUGGGACGGUACUGACGCUGAGGCGCGAAAGCCAGGGGAGCAAACGGG